CCUACGGGGGGCAGCAGUGAGGAAUAUUGGUCAAUGGACGAGAGUCUGAACCAGCCAAGUAGCGUGAAGGAUGACUGCCCUAUGGGUUGUAAACUUCUUUUAUAUGGGAAUAAAAUGUUCCACGUGUGGGAUUUUGUAUGUACCAUAUGAAUAAGGAUCGGCUAACUCCGUGCCAGCAGCCGCGGUAAUACGGAGGAUCCGAGCGUUAUCCGGAUUUAUUGGGUUUAAAGGGAGCGUAGGUGGAUUGUUAAGUCAGUUGUGAAAGUUUGCGGCUCAACCGUAAAAUUGCAGUUGAAACUGGCAGGCUUGAGUACAGGAGAGGUGGGCGGAAUUCGUGGUGUAGCGGUGAAAUGCGUAGAGAUCACGAAGAACGCCGAUUGCGAAGGCAGCUCACUGGACUGCAACUGACACUGAGGCUCGAAAGUGUGGGUAUCAAACAGGAUUAGAUACCCCAGUAGUC
rnacentral:rRNA from 1 species